rnacentral:rRNA from 1 species
ACUCAAAUGAAUUGACGGGGGCCCGCACAAGCGGUGGAGCAUGUGGUUUAAUUCGACGCAACGCGAAGAACCUUACCUGGGCUCGAAAUGGAGUGGACCGGAGUAGAAAUAUUCCUUCCCCGCAAGGGGCCGCUUUAUAGGUGCUGCAUGGCUGUCGUCAGCUCGUGUCGUGAGAUGUUGGGUUAAGUCCCGCAACGAGCGCAACCCUUAUCCCCAGUUGCCAUCAUUAAGUUGGGCACUCUGGUGAAACCGCCUCGGAUAACGGGGAGGAAGGUGGGGAUGACGUCAAGUCCUCAUGGCCUUUAUGUCCAGGGCUACACACGUGCUACAAUGGCCGGUACAAACCGUCGCAAACCCGCGAGGGGGAGCUAAUCGGAAAAAGCCGGCCUCAGUUCGGAUCGCAGUCUGCAACUCGACUGCGUGAAGCUGGAAUCGCUAGUAAUCGCGGAUCAGAAUGCCGCGGUGAAUACGUUCCCGGGCCUUGCACACACCGCCCGU